ensembl:miRNA
GCUACGGGGAGCAGGGAGGAAGUGGGUGCUGCUUCUGUGUUAUCUGGAAGGAGCAGCCCACUCCUGUCCUGGGCUCUUUGGU